rnacentral:snRNA from 1 species
AUUGCUUCUCGGUCUUUUGGCUAAGAUCAAGUGUAGUAUUCAUACUAGUUUCUCUAUAAAUAUUUUAGAAGGAGAAAGACACAGUAGAAGAAUUGGUAGUUUUCAGUAUUCUCUUGAUAAAGUUCAAGAAUGAAUCUCUUCAC